rnacentral:rRNA from 1 species
CCUACGGGGUGCAGCAGUGAGGAAUAUUGGUCAAUGGACGAGAGUCUGAACCAGCCAAGUAGCGUGAAGGAUGACUGCCCUAUGGGUUGUAAACUUCUUUUAUAUGGGAAUAAAACGUUCCACGUGUGGGAUUUUGUAUGUACCAUAUGAAUAAGGAUCGGCUAACUCCGUGCCAGCAGCCGCGGUAAUACGGAGGAUCCGAGCGUUAUCCGGAUUCAUUGGGUUUAAAGGGAGCGUAGGUGGAUUGUUAAGUCAGUUGUGAAAGUUUGCGGCUCAACCGUAAAAUUGCAGUUGAAACUGGCAGUCUUGAGUACAGUAGAGGUGAGCGGAAUUCGUGGUGUAGCGGUGAAAUGCGUAGAUAUCACGAAGAACUCCGAUUGCGAAGGCAGUUCACUGGACUUCAACUGACACUGAGGCUCGAAGGUGUGGGUAUCGAACAGGAUUAGAUACCCCUGUAGUC